rnacentral:tRNA from 1 species
GGUCAUGUAGUGUAAUUGGCUAACACACCAUCCUUGCAAGAUGGAAUUGGGGUUCAAGUCCCACAUGUAUCCA